GAGUUGUUAUAGUGGUCGCCGCUAGUGCAUUUGCAAGGGAAAUCAUCGUCAGAUAUAUUUUUUCAGGCGAUUAAAGUCACUGGAAACAAUCAGAAAAUGAUAUUCUCCACUAUACGAUUAUGUUUCUUCACUUUCUUUCCUAUUUUACGCUCAAUUAGCGGAAAAGAUAGUGUUUUCACUCCGUUGCUUUCACCGGAGAAGAUGGACAUCAUUGCCGUCGUUGGAGAAGAAAAGGAAGUUUAUAUUUUUCCAUAUUUUGUUUCCGUUUUCUAUUUCAUCAUAUGAUUAUCCUUUUUUGUUCUCUCGAUACAUAUGUAAAACCCUACAUUUUCCUACUUGUUCAGUAGAUAGUGUGUCGAAAAACAAAGAAAAGUGUUUAUUCAUGUCAUUGAUGACAAGUAUUUUUGUUGACAUAAGUGUUGUUGAUUUUCAUGCAUGUUUGACAAUGUUCGAGUUAAUCCUGGCUGUUUAAUGACUGCCGCUACAAAUACUGAUAUAGACAACUAAUGGCUGCCGCUACAUAAAAGGCGCAAUUUUCACUUUCCCUUCCUCACGCCUCUUCCCGCCAUCUCUCUCACGUCCCUCUCUCGCUCUCUCUCUCUGUCAAGGGAGUGUUCUGUCUCUGUCAAAACAGUGUCCUGAGGGAGUAAUCUAUCCUCGUCAGUGAGGAAGCCGAUUCUCCUCUCUCUCUCUCUAAUGGCAGCUCUCUAUAUUACAUGUCUUCUUUGCCGAAUGAAGCCGUUUGCGAUAAGGAGAAAUCUGGUGUUACGUGGCCAAAGCAGUUGAAUGCUCCGCUCGAGGAGGUCGAUCCGGACAUUGCAAAUAUCAUCGAGCUCGAGAAAGCAAGACAAUGGAAGGUGCUUUCCAACAUUUGUUGUCCUUUGUUAUGGAUUGAAAAUUAAGGUUUCAAUGUUGUCCUUCUGAAUCAAAGAUUGCAAUGGUUCGAAGAUGGAUGGUCAGGUCUACGAAAGCUUAUUUCUAGUGGUUUCUUCUUUAGCUUGUCAAGUAAUUGAAUGCCUUCUUCCCCUCCCCUCUUCUUCUUUUUGACUCAAGGCUGGACCAAGGAAAGCAUUAUUUGAAGCCAUCUUCAAGGCUGUUGGAAAGAUAAAUAUUAUAGUAGAAGACGUGGGAAUAAUCACAGAGGAUGUAGUUCAACUAAGGAAAGCUAUUCUGUUCUCCAGAGAAGUAAAACAGGUCUGAAAAAUUCUGAUUAACUAUGAGUUGAUAGCAAGAAAGUGCGAGAGAAGUUCGGAACAAGAGAAAGAAAAAAAGUGAAAAGAAAAAGUUGGAAACACGAGGUUGCUACCACAAGAGCUCCGUGAGCGAGUUAGCCAACAUGAGGGGUGGAAUAAGAGAGCUUGGUUCAGACCCUAUUGAAUUCUUGUACAAACCAAGAAUUUAUCAAAUUGAAGUUAAGAUGUAUUUGAAAUAUUUUUUUAUAUUUUAUUGUAAUUGAUG